rnacentral:rRNA from 1 species
UACGUAGGCAGCGAGCGUUGUUCGGAAUUACUGGGCGUAAAGCGCGCGUAGGCGGCUUUGCAAGUCGGGUGUGAAAUCCCCAGGCUUAACCUGGGAACUGCAUUCGAGACUGCAUUGCUAGAGUAUGGGAGAGGGAAGUGGAAUUUCCGGUGUAGCGGUGAAAUGCGUAGAUAUCGGAAGGAACAUCAGUGGCGAAAGCGACUUCCUGGACCAAUACUGACGCUCAUGUGCGAAAGCGUGGGGAGCAAACAGG